GAGUUUGAUCGUGGCUCAGGACGAACGCUGGCGGCGUGCUUAAACACAUGCAAGCCGAGCGGAAAGGCCCUUCGGGGUACUCGAGCGGCGAACGGGUGAGUAACACGUGAGCAACCUGCCCUAGGCUUUGGGAUAACCCUCGGAAACGGGGGCUAAUACCGAAUAUUACUUGGUCUCGCAUGAGGUUGGGUGGAAAGUUUUUCGGCCUAGGAUGGGCUCGCGGCCUAUCAGCUUGUUGGUGGGGUAAUGGCCUACCAAGGCGACGACGGGUAGCCGGCCUGAGAGGGCGACCGGCCACACUGGGACUGAGACACGGCCCAGACUCCUACGGGAGGCAGCAGUGGGGAAUAUUGCACAAUGGGCGGAAGCCUGAUGCAGCGACGCCGCGUGAGGGAUGACGGCC
rnacentral:rRNA from 1 species